rnacentral:rRNA from 1 species
UACAGAGGGGGCAAGCGUUGUUCGGAAUUACUGGGCGUAAAGGGCGCGUAGGCGGCCUGCUAAGUCGAACGUGAAAUCCCUGGGCUCAACCCAGGAACUGCGUCCGAUACUGGUUGGCUUGAAUCCGGGAGAGGGAUGCGGAAUUCCAGGUGUAGCGGUGAAAUGCGUAGAUAUCUGGAGGAAUACCGGUGGCGAAGGCGGCAUCCUGGACCGGCAUUGACGCUGAUGAGCGAAAGCUAGGGGAGCAAACGGG